rnacentral:rRNA from 1 species
AUUCCAGCUCCAAUAGCGUAUAUUAAAGUUGUUGCAGUUAAAACGCUCGUAGUCGGAUUUCGGGGCGGGCCGACCGGUCUGCCGAUGGGUAUGCACUGGCCGGCGCGUCCUUCCACCCGGAGACCGCGCCUACUCUUAACUGAGCGGGCGCGGGAGACGGGUCUUUUACUUUGAAAAAAUCAGAGUGUUUCAAGCAGGCAGUCGCUCUUGCAUGGAUUAGCAUGGGAUAAUGAAAUAGGACUCUGGUGCUAUUUUGUUGGUUUCGAACACCGGAGUAAUGAUUAAUAGGGACAGUCGGGGGCAUUUGUAUUCAAACGACAGAGGUGAAAUUCUUGGACCGUUUGAAGACAAACUACUGCGAAAGCAUUUGCCGAGAAUGUUUUCAUCA